rnacentral:misc_RNA from 1 species
UACGGAGGAUGCAAGCGUUAUCCGGAAUCAUUGGGUUUAAAGGGUCCGUAGGUGGACGAUUAAGUCAGAGGUGAAAUCCUGCAGCUCAACUGUAGAAUUGCCUUUGAUACUGGUUGUCUUGAGUCGUUAUGAAGUGGUUAGAAUAUGUAGUGUAGCGGUGAAAUGCAUAGAUAUUACAUAGAAUACCAAUUGCGAAGGCAGAUCACUAAUAACGUACUGACACUGAUGGACGAAAGCGUGGGGAGCGAACAGG